AUUUUUGAAAUAUUUUCCAUUUUGAAAUUGGAAAGCUUAUACUGCAGACCCAGGCAUUUCUGCUCUGUUCCCCCUGUCCCAGAGAUGUCAUCAUGUCUUCAUUCAAACACUGCACUGCCCAGCAGAGAAGCGCCUCACAAAGAAACAUAAAAGACAAGUACCAGGGAAAGACAUGAUUCUGUGGAAUAAAAAGAUGAAAACCAGCCAUGACCACAUGAAAAUAAAAGAAGAUAAAGAUCAUUUCUUGAACAAUACCUUCACAUCACCAGAGCUGGGGAAAGUGGAAAGAGACAGAAAACUGUGAUAAGAAAUGAGAUUUUCUGUGCCUGAAAAAGUCCCGUUCUGCUUUACUGAAGGAAAAAGAGGAAAAGUUGAGGAAGAUGGCAGCAUGAAUCAAAGACAUGGACUAAUAACUUGUAAUGAGAGACGGAUAAAUGUGGAACCCCCAGGCAUGUCUCUGCUCAGCGUUCCCAUCAGGUGCAGUGGCCUGUUAUGGAUAAAGGAGGAAGUGACUCACGAAGAGCAGGUUUGCUCUAAGAACAGAAGGAGCAAGUGUUGCAAGAAGAGGAGGGAUUUUGGAGCCGACGCUUUGAUGAUAAAAUUGGAUUGAAAGAGAGGCCACUGAUGGUUGAAGGUAAGAGUGACUAUUUAUAACCAAAACCUCUGGAUCUGUGAAUUGGGAUGGUGUCUUUUCAUAGAGACAGUUGUCACUCUGGUAUGAUUAUAAUAUGGAUCUUUGACUGUUGUUCAUUCGCUGAUAAUGUAUUCAUUCUAUGCUGAGCCAAGCUCCA
rnacentral:lncRNA from 1 species